UACCAGCACCCCGAGUGGUCGGGACGUUUUAUUGGGCCUAAAGCAUCCGUAGCCGGUUCUACAAGUCUUCCGUUAAAUCCACCUGCUUAACAGAUGGGCUGCGGAAGAUACUAUAGAGCUAGGAGGCGGGAGAGGCAAGCGGUACUCGAUGGGUAGGGGUAAAAUCCGUUGAUCCAUUGAAGACCACCAGUGGCGAAGGCGCUUGCCAGAACGCGCUCGACGGUGAGGGAUGAAAGCUGGGGGAGCAAACCGG
rnacentral:rRNA from 1 species